rnacentral:rRNA from 1 species
CGGUGUUUAACUGGCGUGAUGUGGGACGUCCUACCGGUGGGCUUAGCCUCGCGAGGGGCGGCCCAACUAAUAUCCCGUCGCGGUGCUCUUUACUGAGUGUCGAGUCGGGCCGGUACGUUUACUUUGAACAAAUUAGAGUGCUUAAAGCAGGCUAUCCUCGCCUGAAUACUGCGUGCAUGGAAUAAUGGAAUAGGACCUCGGUUCUAUUUUGUUGGUUUUCGGAACCCCGAGGUAAUGAUUAAUAGGGACAGAUGGGGGCAUUCGUAUUGCGACGUUAGAGGUGAAAUUCUUGGGAUCGUCGCAAGACGGACAGAAGCGAAAGCAUUUGCCAAAAAUGUUUUCAUUAAUCAAGAACGAAAGUUAGAGGUUCGAAGGCGAUCAGAUACCGCCCUAGUUCUAACCAUAAACGAUGCCAGCUAGCGAUCCGCCGAAGUUCCUCCGAUGACUCGGCGGGCAGCUUCCGGGAAACCAAAGCUUUUGGGUUCCGGGGGAAGUAUGGUUGCAAAGCUGAAACUUAAAGGAAUUGACGGAAGGGCACCACCAGGAGUGGAGCCUGCGGCUUAAUUUGACUCAACACGGGAAACCUCACCAGGCCCAGACACCGGAAGGAUUGACAGAUUGAUAGCUCUUUCUUGAUUCGGUGGGUGGUGGUGCAUGGCCGUUCUUAGUUGGUGGAGCGAUUUGUCUGGUUAAUUCCGAUAACGAACGAGACUCUAGCCUGCUAAAUAGGCGUACCUUAUGGUAUCGCGAAGGCCCCCGGCUUCGGCCGGUGGGUUUUUACUACCAACGUACAAACAAAUCUUCUUAGAGGGACAGGCGG